rnacentral:rRNA from 1 species
UACGUAGGGUGCAAGCGUUAAUCGGAAUUACUGGGCGUAAAGCGCGCGUAGGCGGCCACGCACGUCCGUUGUGAAAUCGCCCGGCUCAACUGGGCGGGGUCGGCGGAUACGGCGUGGCUGGAGCAAGCUAGGGGGCAAUGGAAUUCCCGGUGUAGUGGUGGAAUGCGUAGAUAUCGGGAGGAACACCAGUGGCGAAGGCGGUUGCCUGGAGCUUUGCUGACGCUGAGGCGCGAAAGCGUGGGGAGCGAUCCGG